rnacentral:lncRNA from 1 species
CCUAGCUCCGCGCCGCGCGGACCCACCGAGCCCGCGCUCAGACGCCCCAGCUCCGCCGACAGGCCGCUCGCGCCGGGUCCUUCCUCUUCCCCAGGUGCAGGCAGAGCCCCCGGAGCCAUGGCCAGCCCUUCCGGCAGCUCCAAAGCCACUGGCAAGCCCCGAGGCAGGGAUGGCCGGCCCAGGAGAGAGGAGGACGACGUCACUCCCGAAGAGAAGAGGCUGCGGCUGUUGCUGGAGGAGGGAAGCGCACAGCCCGAUGACGGGGAGGACGCACCGCGGCCAGGCAGGAAGGAGACCGGCACCCAGACAGGUGGCGACGGCAGAGGACCUCUGCCUCAGUCUCCUCUUCUGGAAAGUGGGAUUGGAAACCACAUCUGCUUCUCUCCCAGGACUGCUAGGAAGACAAGAUUAGAUGGCAGGUGAGAGCUCUUUGAAAAUGAAAACAUUCUGCUAUUUGAAUGCAAAGUAUUCUUCUUUGCCUGUGAUGUUUCCUAAUCUGUGAAAUCAUACUGGACCUCGAAGCUGUCUAUUAAAAAAAAAUAUCAAAGUGGCUGGGCAUGGUGGCUCAUGACUGUAAUCCUAGCACUUUGAGAGGCUGAGGGGGGUGGAUCACUUGAGGCCAGGAGUUCGAUACCAGCCUGGCCAAUAUGUGAAACCCCAUCUCUACUAAAAAUACAAAAAUUAGCCAGG